CGCGGGGUGGAGCAGCUCGGUAGCUCGCUGGGCUCAUAACCGGCAGGUCGCAGGUUCAAAUCCUGCCCCCGCUACCA
rnacentral:tRNA from 1 species